rnacentral:rRNA from 1 species
AAGUUCUCCGCCUGUGGACUACGGCCGCAAGGUUAUAACUCACAGGAAUAGACGGGGGGCCGCACAAGCAGAGGAGAGUGUGGUUCUCUUCGAUAUUACACGAAGAGCCCUUCCUGGGUUUGACAUAUAGAUGGUAGAGAGAGGAGACGGGAUAGACCCCUCUGGGAGCCUAUACACAUGCUGCAUAGCUGUCGUCAGAUCGUGUCGUGAGAUGUUGGGUUAAGUCUCUUAACGAGAGCACCUCCCGUGUUCUCAUGCUAUUCUUUUUGGAAACACUCUGACGAGACUCCCCGGGAAACCACGAGGAAGGGGGGGAGGAUAUCAAAUCUCCAUGGUCUCUAUACCUAGGGCACCACACGUGUGUCAAAGGGGAAUACAAAGGGUGGCAAUACCCUAAGGGGGAGCUCUACCCCUAAAAUUUUUCUAAGUUUUGAUUUUGAUGUGCACCCCCACCUCACGAAGUUGAAAUCUCUAGUGUUCUCACAUCACAGCGAUGCGGGGAAUACGUUUUCUGGCCCUGUACACACCCCCCGUCUCACCCCGAAAACUCUUUGUACCCCAAAUCUCUUUAUCUAACCCCAAAAGGGCGCGGGCGCUGAAGGUAUGGAGAGUGAUUGGGGUGAAGUGGUAACAAGGUAGAGGUAGGAGAACCCGCGGGG